GAUGAACGCUGGCGGCGUGCCUAAUACAUGCAAGUCGAGCGAACAGACGAGGAGCUUGCUCCUCUGACGUUAGCGGCGGACGGGUGAGUAACACGUGGAUAACCUACCUAUAAGACUGGGAUAACUUCGGGAAACCGGAGCUAAUACCGGAUAAUAUAUUGAACCGCAUGGUUCAAUAGUGAAAGACGGUUUUGCUGUCACUUAUAGAUGGAUCCGCGCCGCAUUAGCUAGUUGGUAAGGUAACGGCUUACCAAGGCAACGAUGCGUAGCCGACCUGAGAGGGUGUUCGGCCACACUGGACCUGAGACACGGCCCAGCCCCCUACGGGAGGCAGCAGUAGGGAAUCUUCCGCAAUGGGCGAAAGCUUGACGGAGCAACGCCGCGUGAGUGAUGAAGGUCUUCGGAUCGUAAAACUCUGUUAUUAGGGAAGAACAAAUGUGUAAGUAACUAUGCACGUCUUGACGGUACCUAAUCAGAAAGCCACGGCUAACUACGU
rnacentral:rRNA from 1 species